AUGGAGCCUGCAACCGAGACAUGUGCCCUUGACCAGAAUUGAACCCAGGACCCUUCAGUCCAUGGACAGAUGCUAUAUCUACUGAGCCAAAAUAGCUAGGGCCAGAUAACUUUUAAAGGUUUUGGCAUAUUUGUUUUAAAUAUAAGCCUUAAUUUAUAAAGGCUAAAUGACUUAAUUUCCCAGCCCUUAAAAAAAUAUGCCCUAGCACAAUCCUGUAACCCUGAUCUUGUUUAUCAGGAAACAUUUAGUAGUUAUCUCUAAUGCAACCCCCUGAACAUCAUUUGUUCUUGAUUAUUUUUGUAAUCAUUGUAAAUACCUUUAAAAGAGAAUUUAGACUCAAAUCAAAGAACUAUUUUACUUGGUUUCUGGCCAAGAUACCUCUUUUGAGCUAUUUCUGGCUUUUCAGAGUUUUGGCAUGACAGCUUGUCCUGCCUCAGAGCUUCAGGAGGAAAAACUAGUCCCUUCAAAGCAAAUUCGUUACUGAGCCUAAUAGAAGGUUCAUAUGUAUGUUACAUAUUUGUUUAAGAGAAAGGAACUCCUUUGGUUCAUUUAAUCCUGUCCUGGUGAAUUUAGGUUUGAAUGGAUACCGAGGAAACAUUGAUCUUACAGCUGCAAAAUCAGCAAGCCUGGUAGGCUUCUGAUCAAGAUCACAUUAGCUCUUGCUUUAAGGCAUCUUCCUCAGCUCCUACCAUUUAUCCUGUGGUAGAUAAUAUAUGGAGUGAAACAAAAAUGGAAAAAGCCGUAGCUGAGCUUUAAAAUAAGAUGAACCUCUCUCUGGAUCAGAAAUGGAAACAAACACAGGGCACAGUCAGCAAUAUGUGGUGUGUAGUGGGCUUUCAGCUUCUGCUUAACAGGAAUUACAAUUUUCCUCACAAGGUGGGGCCCAGAGCCAGACAUUCGAAAUCGGGACCCCGCAAAAACACACCUGGAAAGGCACAUUCAUAGGCAUGCUUAUAUGUGAAAGAACAUUGAAAAAAGAACAGUUUGGAGGCUGCGGAGGACUUCUGCUUACUAGUAUAUGCAGACAUGGGCCUAAUGUGGAGCCUGGGGAAUAGGUGGGGAGUUGGGAAAGAGAGCAUCAGAGCCUUAAUACCAGGGCAUGAACCAUGCUGCCUGGUGGUGAAACUCACAACAACUGCACUCAUAUCAUUCAAUGUGACUGCUGCAGAUUAGCAAUCUAAGAUCUUGUAGCUCUUCCAGGCUAGAGGCCUGUGAAUGGCAGAUGGUCACUGCCACAAAACCACUUGAUGGGGAGAGGUGAGUUCCAGCAGGAGAGGAAAGCACACACCAUCUCUUUCAAAAUGUGUCUUCAAACCAAAAUCCAAAACACAUUAAAAAGUGAGAGUCCCUCCAAACUGACCAUCAAAAGAUGAAUUAAGCCUAGAUGAAAGUAAAAUGAUAGAAUGGUACAACAAGUAUUGCUUGUGAGUACAUUUGGAUGUGCUCAAAGACAUAAAUAAGAAAACACCUUUGUUAAAAAAGAACAAGAAGCUAAGACACAGGAAUAGAUGAAGAAUCGAUGGAUCUGAAAAAGACAUCUUUGGAAAUAAAAACUAUCACAACUGAGGCUACGAAACCCAAUAGACAGGAUAGAGUGGACCCAGUCACAGAAGAUAAAGAGAAUUAAAAGAUGAUUCUGAGGACUUUAUUGUGCACCACACUAAGAGAAAAAGAUAAGAAAUAUAAACGAGCAAUUAAAAGAGAUGAGGAAUUGGCCACAAGGCUCUAAAAUAUACCUAAUCGAAGUCUCAGAAGAGAAUGGAUGAAAUGGCAGAGAAGCAAUGUUUGAAGCUGUUAACAGCUGAAAAUCUUCCAGAACUGAAGAAGGAUGUGAGUUUUUAAGGAAAUGGUCUCCCGAGAGAAAUUUCAAACAUCUGGGAAGGCAAGAAAGGCUCUCCUUAGGAGCAAUUGGUAUUCUGCACAGCUCAGCUUUGGGAGGCCCUGGCUGAUUCAAAUGACCUUUUCUGUUUUUCACUGGAAAACAUAAAAACUGAAAUGUAAUGUGUUAUAUAUACUAAACCAUGUUUUCUGAGCAAAGGCACUUAUAAAUAACCCGUUAAAGGAGAAUCUGUAGACAACUAGACCCAGAGGAUCAAGAUAUCAAGGAAGACUUCUCUAAAAAAUGCCAUUACCUUUGUGAAAAGUAGGUGGCAAGAUAGUAAUAAUUUGUUUUUAGACAUGGUCUUCAGGGUAGUAUCACAAUGUUUUUAAAAAUAACAUUGUGGAUGACCCAAUAGAGUAGAAAGAAGAAUCCUGAAUAGGACAUUACGUAAGAAGGUAUUACUAGUUGGAACAUUUCAAUGAAGGUGAAUUUUUUUUUUUAUUGAAUACUGUAUGGGGGAAAAAUAAAAGAUAAUUCCUGUCAAGUGAAACCUUAUGAACAUUGGAUGCUGCUUCAAGUUCACAGAAGCAUUUAGGUGAUUGUCAGUUAGAUGGUCAGAAAUUGGAUUUAAUUAAUGCGGACAACUGCAUACCUUGGUUCACACCCAGAGGACUUACAUGCAGAAUCUGGCUGAAGGUAAACUUAUUUUGAUAAAUCUCUACUUAUUACUGCUUUGCAAAGCAGUUUGCUACAAAACAAACUGCACUCACAACUGUCCUUGAAGAUGGAGAACUGAUGGGAUUUCAGUCAAGACAAUUAGGAGAUUAUAUUCCUGUAGAUGAAACAGUCAUAUAUUGGUUUCCUACAUAACUUUAAAUUCCUAGAAAACUUAUAACGUUAGCUAUAAGGUAGAGCUUUAAAAAAAAAGAAAAAAGAAUAGAUUCGAUUUUAUUUCUUCUUUAAUGUGAAGAUACAUCAUUUUGAAACUAAGCAUUUGGAAGACAUGCCAUUCUCUGCCCAGAUACUGAACAACAGGAAAUAUUUUCCUAACAGAAAACCUGAUCAUGAAAUUAUCUUACUUUCUCCAGUGGGACAAUGGGAAAACUCUUUUCACCUCACUUGCAUCUCAUAUCUUUUCUCAUAGAUAUAGAUCCUCCACAUUUGUGGAUAGGAAGUUCUCUCGCCUGAUGAAAUAUCAUCUGUGAACAACAGAAAUUUGUCCUCUUAUUUUGGUAUUUAUUGUAAUUGAAAAAAAGGUAUCAAAGAGUUCUAGUCAGCCACCAGGUAUCUGAUAGCAGAAGUGUCAUCAAUGGGAACUGUAUUUCCAGCAAUUCUAAAGCAAGAAUGAAAUCUGUAAUCCUAAAUGUAUUUAUUAAAAAGCAUAAAAAUAAAUAUGAUUUAAGCAUUCAACAUGAAAAGCUAGAGGAAAAGGCAUAGGGAAUGGCACCACGUUAUUAUAGAUAUGAAAUGAGACUAGAAGUGAAGAGCUGACCUUUCACUGGAUCUGAAGACUCAAAAACAUGAAGUCUGUUCUUCCCAGAUUAAUAUAUAAAUUCAGUGUAAUUCAAACCCCAAAUUUCACCAAGAAUUUUGGUAUGAAAAGGUGACACUAAAAUCGCAGGGAAGAUCAAAGGGGUGAGAAGAGCAGAGACCAUUUUAAGGCAGAACAAUGGGAAUGGGAGGGUCUAUCACACACCAGCUUAUUUGAAGUUGCGGAGUGGCACCUGCAUGGGGUGGAGACAUACAAAGAAACCAAUGAAAUGGAAUCGAGAGCUCAAAUGCACACUGUGUGUUUAUGGACUCUUGACGAAUUGCCGAGGUACCGUUAGAAAUCACUGGGGGGAGAAACUAUAUAAUGAAUGAGGUUGGUUGGCUUAAUAAGUUAUCUAUGGGGAAAAGUAAAAGUAGAUCUUACGUUUAUGCCAAGCACAAAGGAUUCUGUGUAAAGUCCAAAAUGUGAAACUUUAUGUCAGUACAAGGAAAACAUAAAAAGCAGAAAAUGGAGUUAUAUAUGAAAAUUUAAGUUUUUUUGGACAACAGGACAUCGUAAACAAAGUUAAAGAUAAGCUAUGCAGAGAUAUGGGUAGGAGAUGAUAUUUGGUGUGCAUAUAGCUGGCAAAACAAUAAGCAUCCAGAAUAUAACCAGAACUUUAAUGACAAAAAGACAAUCUAGAGGGGAAAUGGGUAAAGAAAACGUGAAAAGCCAAUUAACGCAAAAGAAGUACAACCUCGCCAAUAAUAAAAGAUAUACAAAUUAAAAUGCACCCAUCAAAUUGGCUAAUGCUUAAGUAUUUGAUAACCCCAAGUCUUUGAUGAAGAUGUGGUUUAAUGAAAAAUCUCAUUCACUACUGGUAAGAGAGUAAAUUGGUAAAACCACUUAGGAGAGAAAUUUGGUAAUGUGUAGCAAUGUAAAUGUUGCUGGAACCCCAAAAUUCCACAUCUAGAUAUGUUCUGUAAGGAAUCUCUUAAACAGGUACCCAAGGAGACAUGUAGAAGGAAGUUCAUUGCAUCAUUGUAAUUGUGGCAAGUUGGGAAUUUAAAUGCCCAUUGACAGGAGAGUGUUGUGGGCAUAUUAAAGCAGCAGAAUAAUCCCUUACAGCACUUAAAAUCGCAAACUAGUAUGUAUCAACAUGGAUAACCCACCAAAAACAGUGUUGAAGGCAAAAAGCAACUCUUAGAAUGGUAUGUACAUUCUUAAACAUUAAAAUAGAAAGUUUAAAAACGUG